rnacentral:rRNA from 1 species
GACGAACGCUGGCGGCGUGCCUAAUACAUGCAAGUAGAACGCUGAAGGAGGAGCUUGCUUCUCUGGAUGAGUUGCGAACGGGUGAGUAACGCGUAGGUAACCUGCCUGGUAGCGGGGGAUAACUAUUGGAAACGGUAGCUAAUACCGCAUAAUAGUAGAUGUUGCAUGACAUUUGCUUAAAAGGUGCAAUUGCAUCACUACCAGAUGGACCUGCGUUGUAUUAGCUAGUUGGUGGGGUAACGGCUCACCAAGGCGACGAUACAUAGCCGACCUGAGAGGGUGAUCGGCCACACUGGGACUGAGACACGGCCCAGACUCCUACGGGAGGCAGCAGUAGGGAAUCUUCGGCAAUGGACGGAAGUCUGACCGAGCAACGCCGCGUGAGUGAAGAAGGUUUUCGGAUCGUAAAGCUCUGUUGUAAGAGAAGAACGAGUGUGAGGGUGGAAAGUUCACACUGUGACGGUAUCUUACCAGAAAGGGACGGCUAACUACGUG